UACAGAGGUCUCAAGCGUUGUUCGGAUUCAUUGGGCGUAAAGGGUGCGUAGGUGGCGAGGCAAGUCAGAUGUGAAAUCCCUGGGCUCAACCCAGGAACUGCAUUUGAAACUCCCUUUCUUGAGUGUCGGAGAGGAAAGUGGAAUUCCUGGUGUAGAGGUGAAAUUCGUAGAUAUCAGGAGGAACACCGGUGGCGAAGGCGGCUUUCUGGACGACAACUGACGCUGAGACGCGAAAGCGUGGGGAGCAAACAGG
rnacentral:rRNA from 1 species